CGGCGAUGUCCGAAUGGGGAAACCCAGUGCAAUUCGUUGCACUAUCGUUAACUGAAUACAUAGGUUAACGAGGCGAACCGGGGGAACUGAAACAUCUAAGUACCCCGAGGAAAAGAAAUCAACCGAGAUUCCCCCAGUAGCGGCGAGCGAACGGGGAGCAGCCCAGAGUCUGAAUCAGCUUGUGUGUUAGUGGAACGGUCUGGAAAGUCCGACGGUACAGGGUGAUAGUCCCGUACACCAAAAUGCACAGGUUGUGAACUCGAAGAGUAGGGCGGGACACGUGGUAUCCUGUCUGAAUAUGGGGGGACCAUCCUCCAAGGCUAAAUACUCCUGACUGACCGAUAGUGAACCAGUACCGUGAGGGAAAGGCGAAAAGAACCCCGGCGAGGGGAGUGAAAAAGAACCUGAAACCGUGUACGUACAAGCAGUGGGAGCACCUUCGGGUGUGACUGCGUACCUUUUGUAUAAUGGGUCAGCGACUUAUAUUCUGUAGCAAGGUUAACCGUAUAGGGGAGCCGCAGGGAAACCGAGUCUUAACUGGGCGUUAAGUUGCAGGGUAUAGACCCGAAACCCGGUGAUCUAGCCAUGGGCAGGUUGAAGGUUGGGUAACACUAACUGGAGGACCGAACCGACUAAUGUUGAAAAAUUAGCGGAUGACUUGUGGCUGGGGGUGAAAGGCCAAUCAAACCGGGAGAUAGCUGGUUCUCCCCGAAAGCUAUUUAGGUAGCGCCUCGUGAACUCAUCUUCGGGGGUAGAGCACUGUUUCGGCUAGGGGGUCAUCCCGACUUACCAACCCGAUGCAAACUACGAAUACCGAAGAAUGUUAUCACGGGAGACACACGGCGGGUGCUAACGUCCGUCGUGAAGAGGGAAACAACCCAGACCGCCAGCUAAGGUCCCAAAGUCAUGGUUAAGUGGGAAACGAUGUGGGAAGGCACAGACAGCCAGGAUGUUGGCUUAGAAGCAGCCAUCAUUUAAAGAAAGCGUAAUAGCUCACUGGUCGAGUCGGCCUGCGCGGAAGAUGUAACGGGGCUAAACCAUGCACCGAAGCUGCGGCAGCGACACUAUGUGUUGUUGGGUAGGGGAGCGUUCUGUAAGCCUGCGAAGGUGUGCUGUGAGGCAUGCUGGAGGUAUCAGAAGUGCGAAUGCUGACAUAAGUAACGAUAAAGCGGGUGAAAAGCCCGCUCGCCGGAAGACCAAGGGUUCCUGUCCAACGUUAAUCGGGGCAGGGUGAGUCGACCCCUAAGGCGAGGCCGAAAGGCGUAGUCGAUGGGAAACAGGUUAAUAUUCCUGUACUUGGUGUUACUGCGAAGGGGGGACGGAGAAGGCUAUGUUAGCCGGGCGACGGUUGUCCCGGUUUAAGCAUGUAGGCUGAUUGUCCAGGCAAAUCCGGAUAAUCAAGGCUGAGGUGUGAUGACGAGGCACUAUGGUGCUGAAGUAACAAAUGCCCUGCUUCCAGGAAAAGCCUCUAAGCAUCAGGUAACAUCAAAUCGUACCCCAAACCGACACAGGUGGUCAGGUAGAGAAUACCAAGGCGCUUGAGAGAACUCGGGUGAAGGAACUAGGCAAAAUGGUGCCGUAACUUCGGGAGAAGGCACGCUGGUGUGUAGGUGAAGUCCCUGCGGAUGGAGCUGAGACCAGUCGAAGAUACCAGCUGGCUGCAACUGUUUAUUAAAAACACAGCACUGUGCAAACACGAAAGUGGACGUAUACGGUGUGACGCCUGCCCGGUGCCGGAAGGUUAAUUGAUGGGGUUAUCCGUAAGGAGAAGCUCUUGAUCGAAGCCCCGGUAAACGGCGGCCGUAACUAUAACGGUCCUAAGGUAGCGAAAUUCCUUGUCGGGUAAGUUCCGACCUGCACGAAUGGCGUAAUGAUGGCCAGGCUGUCUCCACCCGAGACUCAGUGAAAUUGAACUCGCUGUGAAGAUGCAGUGUACCCGCGGCAAGACGGAAAGACCCCGUGAACCUUUACUAUAGCUUGACACUGAACAUUGAGCCUUGAUGUGUAGGAUAGGUGGGAGGCUUUGAAGCGUGGACGCCAGUCUGCGUGGAGCCAACCUUGAAAUACCACCCUUUAAUGUUUGAUGUUCUAACGUUGGCCCCUUACCGGGGUUGCGGACAGUGUCUGGUGGGUAGUUUGACUGGGGCGGUCUCCUCCCAAAGCGUAACGGAGGAGCACGAAGGUUAGCUAAUCCUGGUCGGACAUCAGGAGGUUAGUGCAAUGGCAUAAGCUAGCUUGACUGCGAGCGUGACGGCGCGAGCAGGUGCGAAAGCAGGUCAUAGUGAUCCGGUGGUUCUGAAUGGAAGGGCCAUCGCUCAACGGAUAAAAGGUACUCCGGGGAUAACAGGCUGAUACCGCCCAAGAGUUCAUAUCGACGGCGGUGUUUGGCACCUCGAUGUCGGCUCAUCACAUCCUGGGGCUGAAGUAGGUCCCAAGGGUAUGGCUGUUCGCCAUUUAAAGUGGUACGCGAGCUGGGUUUAGAACGUCGUGAGACAGUUCGGUCCCUAUCUGCCGUGGGCGCUGGAGAAUUGAGGGGGGCUGCUCCUAGUACGAGAGGACCGGAGUGGACGCAUCACUGGUGUUCGGGUUGUCAUGCCAAUGGCACUGCCCGGUAGCUAAAUGCGGAAGAGAUAAGUGCUGAAAGCAUCUAAGCACGAAACUUGCCCCGAGAUGAGUUCUCCCUGAGACUUUAAGUCUCCUGAAGGAACGUUAAAGACGAUGACGUUGAUAGGCCGGGUGUGUAAGCGCAGCGAUGCGUUGAGCUAACCGGUACUAAUGAACCGUGAGGCUUAACCUU
rnacentral:rRNA from 1 species